rnacentral:rRNA from 1 species
CUGGCGGCGUGCCUAACACAUGCAGGUCGAGCGGAGACAUAUCACGAAGAGGAAGUUUCGGAUGGAAUCGGAGGGAUAUGUUUUAGCGGCGACGGGUGAGUAACGCGUGAGCAACCUGUCCCUUACAGAGGGAUAACACAGCGAAAGUUGUACUAAUACCGCAUAAGACCACGGACCGGCAUCGGUUUGAGGUCAAAGGAGCAAUCCGGUAAGGGGUGGGCUCGCGUCCGAUUAGAUAGUUGGUGAGGUAACGGCCCACCAAGUCAACGAUCGGUAGCCGACCUGAGAGGUGAUCGGCCACAUUGGGACUGAGACACGGCCCAAACUCCUACGGGAGGCAGCAGUGGGGAAUAUUGGGCCAAUGGGGAAACCCUGACCCAGCAACGCCGCGUGAGGGAAGAAGGUUUUCGGAUCGUAAACCUCUGUCCUUGGUGAAGAGGAAGAGACGGUAGCCAAGGAGGAAGCCCCGGCUAACUACGUGCCAGCCGCCGC